CCUACGGGAGGCAGCAGUAGGGAAUUUUCGUCAAUGGGCGCAAGCCUGAACGAGCGAUGCCGCGUGAGUGAAGAAGGCCUUCGGGUCGUAAAGCUCUGUUGCGGGGGAAAAAAGGCAGCAUCAGGAAAUGGGUGCUGACUGAUGGUGCCCCGCCAGAAAGUCACGGCUAACUACGUGCCAGCAGCCGCGGUAAUACGUAGGUGGCGAGCGUUAUCCGGAAUGAUUGGGCGUAAAGGGUGCGUAGGCGGAAUAUCAAGUCAGCGGUAAAAAUUCGGGGCUCAACCCCGUCGUGCCGUUGAAACUGAUGUUCUUGAGUGGGCGAGAAGUAUGCGGAAUGUGUGGUGUAGAGGUGAAAUGCAUA
rnacentral:rRNA from 1 species